rnacentral:rRNA from 1 species
ANGCAGCCGAGCGGUAGAGAUUCUUCGGAAUCUUGAGAGCGGCGCACGGGUGCGGAACACGUGUGCAACCUGCCUUUAUCAGGGGAAUAGCCUUUCGAAAGGAAGAUUAAUGCCCCAUAAUAUAUUAAAUGGCAUCAUUUGAUAUUGAAAACUCCGGUGGAUAAAGAUGGGCACGCGCAGGAUUAGAUAGUUGGUAGGGUAACGGCCUACCAAGUCAACGAUCCUUAGGGGGCCUGAGAGGGUGAUCCCCCACACUGGUACUGAGACACGGACCAGACUCCUACGGGAGGCAGCAGUGAGGAAUAUUGGACAAUGGGUGAGAGCCUGAUCCAGCCAUCCCGCGUGAAGGACGACGGCCCUAUGGGUUGUAAACUUCUUUUGUACAGGGAUAAACCUUUCCACGUGUGGGAAGCUGAAGGUACUGUACGAAUAAGCACCGGCUAACUCCGUGCCAGCAGCCGCGGUAAUACGGAGGGUGCAAGCGUUAUCCGGAUUUAUUGGGUUUAAAGGGUCCGUAGGCGGACUCGUAAGUCAGUGGUGAAAUCUCACAGCUUAACUGUGAAACUGCCAUUGAUACUGCGGGUCUUGAGUGUUGUUGAAGUAGCUGGAAUAAGUAGUGUAGCGNNAAAGGG